CUCCUCCUCCUCCUCCUCCGCUUCAUCUCCUCCACUUCCUCUUCAGUCCACUCUGCUAAAUGAAACAUAUCACUUCUCACUUGUAGGAAAUGCAAAUGUUUCCUCAGUCCCUCCCAACACACACGCGCACACACACACUGGCCCGUGCAGAUCAUAUUAUUUGGAACAAAUAAGAUGCUUUUCGGGACCAGAAUAAUACCUGGAGCACCGCAGCUCUCAUUUAAAACAAACCCAGAGGAACAUGCACGCUGGACAUGGCUUCAUGACAAACUCAGUCAUAAACUACAACCACUCAGAUCCAGUAACCUGUCAGCCCCUGCAGCCUGUUUCACAUUCACCCAGUCACGGAUCUGAAACUGCUCAGCCAGUCCUGUGUGGGUGCGCCUAACUGACAGGUAGACCGCCAGGUGGGGGCGCUAUAGUGACCCAGGGGAGUCAGAGGAGAGCGACAGAGCUGUCACAUCCACGGCGCUACAGCAGCCACACACACACACACACACACACACACACACACACACACACACACACACACACACACACACACACACACACACAGAGCAGAGUGAUCAGUGAUGGUCUCACGGAGCCUCGUAGAAAGUUUUACGGCUCUCUUUACACCGGAGGGAUCCGGGACCGGGGUCUGAUCAUGGCGGGGCUGUGCCAGAGGUUACCGGGUGUCCCUGGAUGUCAGUGGCGAGCAGCGCCAUCAGCACGAAUGAGCGCAUGUGCUCAGCUAUUCACUGAUAACAGGCAUCACUGAUGUGACGCGUGCUCCCAAAUACACCACCGUGACAUCACCGUCACCGUCUCAGCCCGGAGUGCAGGGAGCCUCCCUGUUUCGGGUGCUGGCUGCCUGAAGAUGUGUUGACAGCAUGGAGAAAUUGAAUUAGCAGCUGCAGCGCCGGGAACAUUGAAUCAUAUUAGGAGCGCAGCGGAGGAGCAGACGCUACCUGCAGGCCGGAGGCAGAGGAAGAGCUCUGUCACACAGCCCGGUGCAGACAGAACACAGGGGGGAACCCAAGAACACACCGAACCUCUCCUCGGAACCAGAGAGCCCAAACUAGGAAAAGGUGUCGGCGUCGAUUUCAUCGGAUAAAUAUGGCGGAUGAAACUGAAGCUGAUCCAGAAAAGAAAAGAAAAAAAAAAAUCCUGCUCGUGUUCCUGAUUCCCAUCUAAUCUCCAUCCGACCUGACAGCAGCACACUGAGCCCAGAUCUCUGAGCACAUCUCCUCCUUUGUCUCGGACACCGUGCACUGCACAGGUCUUGACAUCCUGAUGGUGAGUUUCGGUGGUGACAGAGCUGUCUCUUUGCCACUCAAAAUGUGGUUCAAGGACCUGCAGGGGCCCCAGAGGUGUUUCAAUGAGGUGUAGAAAACAGGGCCCAGGAUUAAAAUCAGCAUCAUAUUAUCUGACAGGUGUCAUUCUAAGUAAAGUCUGAAAAUAUACCAAAUUUUAGAUUUUUGAUGGUUGUACAAUUUAACAAUAAUUCAAGGAUUAUUCCUCCUUUACAGUCAUAUUUUUAGCUAUGUGCUAGCUAGUUUAAUGAAGGAUUUAGGUUAUAAGAUCAAUGACGGUGGCUUAAAGGUGCCAGUGAGGAGGUUUUCUGCAGCAGCUGAUGAGCAGAGCAGAAAUCUUGGUGACUCACCUCCCUGAAUUAGAUUAUCAUUAUUUUAAAUGAUAUGGUUCUCACAUGCAAAACCCAGGAUUGUCAGAAAAUUCAGUAUUAUCCAUUUCCUGGCCUGAGAGCGUGGGAUGUGAUGUGUGACCUUUUUCUCACAGCACACCCCGACACUGUGUGUGUCAUGUAGACAGCUCAACAUUCAGAAUGAAACCUUUAUAUAUGAUGAAAUGCAUUUGAGCUCCAGGCCAUAUGAACCAGACUGAGACCCACGAGGCAGACUGCGUGGCGUUUAAAGAUUCAACGUGAAGAUGGUGUGAUGAUAAAACAUGCAGGAAUCCUCCAAGGUAAGUUUCACACACCGCAGAGAAAUAUAUUACACAAGGGUUCACAUGUAAAGCCAGGACACAUAUGCAUUAUGGUACCAUAUUAAUACUUUAGCUGCUUGUCUGUGUGUUUUUUAUGUUUUGGGAAUUUUUUGCAACAUCGCUAAAUUUUCCAAAGAAUUUACAGAUGUUCUGAAUCACUAUUUUACAUCCCCACAGAAAUAUAUAGUACAUGUUAAUUGCCCUUAACUAUUGUAUUUUAGCUUCCGUCUCUCAUCCAUCUAAAGAGAAUUAUUUUACGUUUCAACUUCUUUAACAAAUUUCAAAAUAAACCAAGUCAUCUUUCCUGCAGCUGUGUGUAUGUGUUUUCUCUCUGGAUGCUGCUGAAGGUUGCAAUCACGUUGUUUCAGCAACGUUUCUAAUGGUGAGAGAGUGAACAUCUGUGUAUAUAUUUGUGACAUAUUAUAAUUGUUAACGUGUAUGCCCAAAGCAACUGAUUUUCCAUGUUGAGCAAUCCACCAUAAUAUAUACAAUAAAUGCCAAAGUACUUGGUAAAUUGCAGGAGAUUAAAAAAAAUGUAAGGACUUCUUUUUGUAUGAGUUCUGAGAACUGGCUUGAUUUUUUUUCAAAUGGCAAAUGAAUCACUGAUCAGGUUUAGUAAGUGUGAAGGUAUGAAACAAAAAUGUUGUUUUGGACUUUAAAAAAAAAAAAGAAAAAACUGUCUUGGCAGUGGGUGUAUUGUCACCUGUCUUAACCAAAAGUAGCAAUUUCUGGUAGAAAAACAGGAAGUGCUGCCUAAUUUACAUCGAGCUGUAUUUACUGUGGUGCCGCUGGCCUCAGCAGAAGAAAAGGGUGGUCGUGUUGUGAAUGAGAUUUCAGUUUGGAUAAAAUUAGCUGGCAGCACAGUUACGGACAUCGGCAUCAACUGCUGGCACUUUUAUCAACAAUGGUCUGGAAUCAGUGGGAGAUCUCUCUGCUGUUUGCGUUUGCUAAAUGAAGCUCGAGGGAUAUUUGGAAGGUUCUCCCGUUGAAUAACGACACUGCAGUGGAUGAUAGAAAAGCUCCACUGUGAAUGAACCUGGUCGCUGGCUAUACUGAGUUAAUAACUGAUUUCAAUCUACAGCCCCAUUCGAACGCAAUGUUUAUCAUAAUGAAGCUAUCAGAGGUCUCUGUGUGCCCCGACAGCCUGCCGACCUGAGGCCACUUAACAUAACAAAGGCUAAACUGUCAACUAUAACCUGUUAGCAUAGUGAAUGUUUAAUUGAUUGAAGCCUAUUACCAUUCCACAUAGUUUACACUAAGCUGCACAGUGUAUUCAGUAAGUGUUAGCGUGCUUUAUUCAAGUCAGAUAAGUUCUGUUUGCUAACCGAUCUAAUGCUUCUCAUUUGUAAGGAACCCAUGCUAAAUUCAACAGAAUGAAUGUUACUGCGCCUAUAUAGUAUACAGUAUAUUCAAUCAGCUUAUUUUGACUGCAUCUUUUCCACUCCACUAGUCUUAAUAUUCUGAUUGAUAAUGUUCCCGUUUGCUGCCAUGUUUCUCUUGUUCAAAGUUCACAAGUUUGGACUCAACACCAGCAGGUCCACACACACACACACACACACACACACACACACACACACACACACUUCCCAGCAGGAGGUUUAGAUGCCAGGAAAGGAAAGGUAGCUUCAUUUACAUCUCAGGGAUUUCUUUCAUUCAGCGUGACUUGAAUCGGUGAGUGGAGAUUUACAGUCGUUGUGGAGGACACACUGCCCUCUGAGUUACUGCUAGAACACGCUGCUGCCAAGUUCAAACUUCAGUAGCUCAGCAUUUCUUCUCAAAAUUAAUACAUGGCUAAUGACAAAUUAUUAAUUAAAAAUAAACACGCAUACAAAUCUAUUUUAAACUGACAUGACAUUGGUCAUUUGCCAGGUUUUUAGUGUGUGGUAUCCUUGCUAAAUACAAACUAUAUUUAUUUAUUACAUUUUUUUUUUAAAUGGUUUGGAUUUCAUUCACAUUUAUGAUGAUUCAUUUUGUGAAUAUGAAACAUUGCAAAAGGUUUGUAAUAACAUGUUGGAAUCAAAUAAAACACUUUCAGUCGGAACUGUUGUUUUCCUCUUGUGCUUGCUGUACAAUGCUGAACUUUCCUCAAGAUGAAGUGGCAGACACACAUCCUGCCAGCUGGAGCCUAUUUCUUACUUUAUUCAUAAGGGAGUCCUGCAUAAAAACCUGAAUAGAUAUUUUGUAAUGGUUCUGUUUUUUAUGCAUUCAUUCUGUUGUCCAAAUUAUACUGUAACCAAUUUCAUUUUCAAAUCCAUGUGAGUGGAAUAACAUGCAUACUGGUUUUAAUUUAAAAAUGUUUCAGGCAGUUGAGUGGUAAUAUAUUAUUAAUUUAAUUGUCUGUGCAAACGUUUUCUGGCCAUCUCUUCAAGUUUGGAUGUGUUCCACUGUAGCCGGGCAAGGGCCCCUUUUAAAUUUUACGACUAGUAGCAUAUGAACACAACGAUGAGAUGAAAUAAAGCAUACAAGGAAUAAUCUACCGCUAAUCUAAUUUAAUUCAAAUUAGUUCAAAUGGUUCCUGUCCAAUGUUUGACUUCCCUUUAAAAAAAAAACAAAAAAACUUUGUUUGAGAGUUCUGGGACUUGAAGUUUCGUGCUGAUUAGCAGAGAAACAAACAUGCCCUCUCGUGUUCUCCCUUCCUUCAGAACAAAGAGCCAGAGUCGGCCAUAAAAAGUCCCUUUAACAGCACUUCAUUGCCUUUUAAAAAAUAUGGUACUAAUUACCAGCAGUACAAUGUUGCUGAUGGUCACCGCCGUGGUUGAAAUACGAACGACACAAUUAGGAGCAAUCAGAGUGAGAAAAAAAGAUUCAUUUCCUUGACUUUUAUUAUGUUUUUUUUCUUUUUUUUUUCCUUGCAUGAAUGCUGGGAGAAGAAGUGAGUAUUUUACCAAUCAAAUUUUAAUGUCAACAACAAGCAUUUGCUCUGAAUUAAAAUGUGUAGAUUCAUGCCCUCAUUCACUGACCGAGCAACAACGGGCCGACAUGACAUGCAAGCCCGUCCGGCAGCACUCACACAUGUGGGAUUGUUCACUUCUAAUAUCAUUCCAUGUCUUUUCCGAAGGCGACUGUAAAUAGUGCAGUCAAACAUUCUGCUUAGGACAAAUCAUCAGGCAGAGUGUGUUUCAUAAAAUAAUUUCUGAUUAUCAAAGUCAAUCUCCUUCGCUAUUACAGGCAAAGCUAGUACAUUUAAGGAAAAUACAUUUUUAGAGACUUAUAACUAGAGGAAGAAAAAGAUUUGGUCAAAGGAGGCUAAUGUAAAAAAUACAGCAUGAUGGCUACACAUGCUUCUAUUACUGCGCUCAAUUAAAAUUUACUCUGCGGAAAGGCCGAGUGGCGAAUAUAUCCUCAUGAUGUCAGAAGCAUAUCUCAAUUAUACUGUAAACAUCUAAAUGACUUCAGCAACGUAGUAAUAGUGUCAUCUCAUUACUGCAUCUUUUGUCAAAUGUAAUUACAGGAAAAUCAAAGGCAUGAGAGGACCAAAUUUAAUCAGGAACAUUUAGCAGGAGGCCAUGAGGGCACAAACACACGGAGGGAAAGGGAGCUGCUACACGUCACUGGCUGGAAUAAACAUUUUCCCUCUGUCUGCGCUCCCUUUUCUUAUGGCUCAUUCAGACAACAGGCACACCGUAAAACUUCAAACACACUGGGCGAUGGCGUGCUGAGGAAACAGCCGACAUCGGCUGCAGAGAGGAGAGGACGGCCGGCCUCCUGAUUUAACACAAUGACAAGGUAACAAGCAGGGUUAGAUCAUUGUGCUGAUACUGGUCUCUUAUUAGAAAUGUGAUAUUGAAAAUAGGGGGAAUUCCUCCCUGACCUCAGCUGUAUCAAAAUACUCUGCAGUGAUGAAACUGCAUUUCUGUACUUUAGAUUUGGUUAAUUGCUAUGCAAUAAUUUGUUU